rnacentral:sRNA from 1 species
AUACAGACGGAGCGUCAAGAGGCAAUCCCGGAUUAGCGGCGGCAGGAGGGGUCUUACAGGAGAGCAAUGGGGAAUGGCGCAGAGGGUUUGCAAUUAAUAUCGGGAUAUGCUCAACACCUCUUGCUGAGUUAUGGGGUGUAUACUACGGGUUAUUCAUGGCCUGGGAGUGUAAAGUAUCCCGAUUAGAGUUAGAGGUGGACUCGGAGGUUGUUGUUGGGUUUCUUCGGACAGGGAUAAGUGAAUCUCACCCGCUGUCCUUCCUAAUACGCAUGUGCUAUGGCUUUAUAUCAAAGGACUAGAUAGUCCGGAUUUCUCACAAGUAUAGGGAAACUAAUAGUCUAGCGGAUGAGUUAGCGAACUAUGCAUUUUCUUUACCUCUUGGUUUUCAGUUUUUUUAUGUUUGUCCGGAUGCUGUUUAUUCGGUUAUGUUGGAAGACCGGAACGGAAUGUCGUUUCCGCGUCAUGUUCGUUUGUAAUUUCUUUUAGUUUGAAUAAAAAAUAGGGGACAUUGUUCCCUAUCACUCACCAAAAAAA